UCCCUCUUAGCUCAGUGGUAGAGCGCGUCACUAGUAUCUUUACUUUUCCAUAGAUGUGGUUUAUGACGAGGUCAGUCGUUCAAGUCGGCUAGAGGGAA